CCCACCACAACUCAGCCAAUAAAAGGUAGGGAGGAGAAAAUCAAAACUUGAAGGGGCACCGAUCUCCCAACCAUGGCGGCGGUGGACGACAAUGCAGGUGUAGAAAUGAAGUAGGAGGAGAGAAGUCGCCAAUCUAGCCAUCCCCACGUGUGGUCUGUCAGUGGCGCGUGCAACAAAGCUUGGCUCUAGAUCCAGCAGCCCAAAGCACGACAAAAUACACAGAAUCGCCAACCACAAGCCACGGACGCCCUGACCUCAGAGCUGUCC
rnacentral:lncRNA from 1 species